rnacentral:rRNA from 1 species
UACGGGGGGGGCAAGCGUUGUUCGGAAUUACUGGGCGUAAAGGGCGCGUAGGCGGCCUUCUCAGUCGGGUGUGAAAGCCCGGGGCUCAACCCCGGAACGGCACCCGAGACGGGAAGGCUGGAGACCGGGAGAGGAGGGUGGAAUAGCCAGUGUAGAGGUGAAAUUCGUAGAUAUUAGGAAGGACACCAGUGGCGAAGGCGGCUCACUGGCCCGGUACUGACGCUGAGGCGCGAAAGCGUGGGGAGCAAACAGG